rnacentral:rRNA from 1 species
GACGAACGCUGGCGGCGUGCUUAACACAUGCAAGUCGAACGGAAAGGCCUCUUUCGGGGGGUACUCGAGUGGCGAACGGGUGAGUAACACGUGAGUAACCUGCCCUUGACUUUGGGAUAACUUCAGGAAACUGGGGCUAAUACCGGAUAGGAGCUCCUGCUGCAUGGUGGGGGUUGGAACGUUUCGGCGGUUGGGGAUGGACUCGCGGCUUAUCAGCUUGUUGGUGGGGUAGUGGCUUACCAAGGCUUUGACGGGUAGCCGGCCUGAGAGGGUGACCGGCCACAUUGGGACUGAGAUACGGCCCAGACUCCUACGGGAGGCAGCAGUGGGGAAUAUUGCACAAUGGGUGGAAGCCUGAUGCAGCAACGCCGUGUGCGGGAUGACGGCCUUCGGGUUGUAAACCGCUUUCGCUCAUGACGAAGCUUUGUGUGACGGUAGUGGGUAAAGAAGCACCGGCUAACUACGUG